rnacentral:rRNA from 1 species
GAUGAACGCUGGCGGCGUGCCUAAUACAUGCAAGUCGAGCGAACAGAUAAGGAGCUUGCUCCUUUGACGUUAGCGGCGGACGGGUGAGUAACACGUGGAUAACCUACCUAUAAGACUGGAAUAACUCCGGGAAACCGGGGCUAAUGCCGGAUAAUAUUUAGAACCGCAUGGUUCUAAAGUGAAAGAUGGUUUUGCUAUCACUUAUAGAUGGACCCGCGCCGUAUUAGCUAGUUGGUAAGGUAACGGCUUACCAAGGCAACGAUACGUAGCCGACCUGAGAGGGUGAUCGGCCACACUGGAACUGAGACACGGUCCAGACUCCUACGGGAGGCAGCAGUAGGGAAUCUUCCGCAAUGGGCGAAAGCCUGACGGAGCAACGCCGCGUGAGUGAUGAAGGUCUUCGGAUCGUAAAACUCUGUUAUUAGGGAAGAACAAAUGUGUAAGUAACUGUGCACGUCUUGACGGUACCUAAUCAGAAAGCCACGGCUAACUACGUG